UCAGCCAGAAUACUUUUCCCAGAGCCCCUUGCUGCAGGGAGUGACCACGUGACUCCUGCUGCCAGCGGAAAGUGAGAAGUCCUAAGUGCCACUUCCAGGCCCGGCCCCUGAGAGACACCCCCACCCAGGAUCCAUGCCCUCCUCUCUCCUGCUGACUCAGCCAAGGGUUCAGAAGACUUGGAGGUGGUGAAGCCGCAAGGAGGAUGCAGUUCAGAAGAGGUCACAGGAAACCGUAAACCCCUCAGAUAAAGUGGAAGAUUUGGCAAAGCAGAGACGUGGCUGGUUCCAGCCGCUUGGCGCCCUCCAGGAUUCACCCACAGAACCAUCUUCCUGACGGCCUCAAGGGUCCUGGGCUGCUGAGCUGGCCUCUCAGCCAACCUGUGUCAAGUCCUCACCUGGAACUGGGGGAUCUGUUAAUGUUUCCACUUCACUCUGUCCUCAGCACGUACAGUUUGGAGAAAGUAAAUACUUUGGGUAGGUAUUUACUCCCAACUGCUCUGAUCAGCCCAGAAGGCUCUGGCCUGAGCCCGGCCUGCCCAUGUCCAAGGCAGAGAAGCCACACUCUUUGGGGCUGUCCCUUUGUGUAUCGUCCUGAGGAGGAUGGCUCCCUGGAGGCGACAGCCUUGGGUAAUGCCUGCAGUGCACACUCAGUGCCUACCCACACCCUCCCUCCGAGGCCAUCGCCUCCAGCUGCCAGCCGCUGAGUCCAUCUGCCCCGUGACUCUCUGGUCUCCUGGCUGCUGGGGUAGUUUUCACAAACUGCCUCGCUUAGUCAUCACGGUUCUGUGCUCUGUGGGCGCAUACAGGCGGCCAGAACUGCCCCUCCUCCCGGGCCAGAUGGUAAGCCCCCAGCUCCUGGCCUUCAGUGCCACAGGCCAGCCCCCUAUAACACACCCUCCACAGGCUUCCUUCCUUGCCUGUCUCACCCACCACCUCCCCUGCCAGGGCUUCCUGGGGUCACUUGUCUUGCAUUUAGAUCCCGGACUCAAGUCUGCCUGCAAGGAAACCCAAACUAAGAAAAACAUCUGAUUGCCAACAUUUAUCGAACACUUUGUGCUGAGCAGGGUGCUCAUACACUUCAUGUGCCUUGACUCAUUGAAUCCUCUGACAGCCAGUGCAACACAGUAGGGACCGUUAUCAGCUCCAUUUUACAGGCACAGAACCUGACUCAGAGCAGAGGCUUGGCGCCAAGCCACUCCUCCCAUGGACCAGCCUCCAGGCACCCUGAAUUGUCCUCAGUCUCCAAACUGCUGUGUCGCUCUCCUCCUGCCCUCUGCCCUCUGACACACAGAGGGGUUAUCACUUGGUCACACAGUAAAUUAGAGGGUGAACCUGGCUCAGGAGCAGGCUCCAGGUGUGGAGCCCUCACACCUCACCCCUGCGAGGCAGACCAGCAGCCCCUCGAGAUGCCCCCAUCUGGACCCUGUGCUGUCACCUGCUGGGGCAAAAGACACUUUGCAGAUGUGAUAAAGUCAAGAAUCCUGAGAUGAGGAGAUGACCUGCAUUAUCCAAAGGGCUCUGGGGAAACAGCAACCGCCCUCAGAAGAGGGUGUUUUUGUCCUGCCUCUUUCAGCCAGAAUAUGAUGUGAUGACCCAGCAGAGGGACUCUCGGGAGAAAGAGAUUUGGAGAUGCUACACCGCCGACUCUGAAGACAGAGGAAGGGGCCACCAGCCAAGAGAUGCGGGUGACCCCUGGAAGCUAGAAAAGGCAAGGAAACAGAUUCUGCUCUGCAUGCUCCAGAGAAACAAGCUCUGCCAGCACACUGACUAGAGAGACCUGCUCCAGACCUUGGGCCUCCAGAACUGAAAGAGAUUGCAUUUGUUGUCUCAAACCAGCACGUGUGGUGAUUGGUUACAGCACCCAUGGGGAACCGUCUUCCAUUGGAGUUGUUUCUGUCCUUUGCUAGUAUGAGUAACGUUGCUACAAA